CAAGUUUGAGCGAUACUUUCUCUAUCACGAGGCCAAAAAUUAUAGAUGUAAUUCCGAUCACAAUGUACCAAAUGCAUAGGAUAAAACUUUUGAUGAAAUUCCAAUUUCAAUCGGUUGUAGUUCGAUGAUCCAGUAUCAUCACAUAGCCUAUAACAUGUCAAUGCUUUUAAAGGAAAGACCUUCUUAUUGACCUCAUCCUCAGGAAAACCU
rnacentral:lncRNA from 1 species